GAUGAACGCUGGCGGCGUGCCUAAUACAUGCAAGUCGAGCGAACAGACGAGGAGCUUGCUCCUCUGACGUUAGCGGCGGACGGGUGAGUAACACGUGGAUAACCUACCUAUAAGACUGGGAUAACUUCGGGAAACCGGAGCUAAUACCGGAUAAUAUAUUGAACCGCAUGGUUCCAUAGUGAAAGACGGUUUUGCUGUCACUUAUAGAUGGAUCCGCGCCGCAUUAGCUAGUUGGUAAGGUAACGGCUUACCAAGGCAACGAUGCGUAGCCGACCUGAGAGGGUGAUCAGCCACACUGGAACUGAGACACGGUCCAGACUCCUACGGGAGGCAGCAGUAGGGAAUCUUCCGCAAUGGGCGAAAGCUUGACGGAGCAACGCCGCGUGAGGGAUGAAGGUCUUCGGAUCGUAAAACUCUGUUAUUAGGGAAGAACAAAUGUGUAAGUAACUAUGCACGUCUUGACGGUACCGAAUCAGAAAGCCACGGCUAACUACGUG
rnacentral:rRNA from 1 species